rnacentral:snRNA from 1 species
GUGCUCACUUUAGCUGCAUACAUACUAAAAUUGGAAUAAUACAGAGAAGAUUAGCAUGGCCCCUGUGCAAAGAUGACAUAUACAUUUGUGAAGCAUUCUGUAUUUUU